rnacentral:rRNA from 1 species
GACGAACGCUGGCGGCGUGCCUAAUACAUGCAAGUCGAACGGUGAGGCCUUGCUCUUGUGGCGUGCUCGUGUGGCGCACGGGUGAGUAUAACGCGAGUAACCUGCCCCUGACUUUGGGAUAAAAUCAGGAAACAGGGGCUAUAAUCGGACAUGAGAACUUGCUGCAUGGUGUGGGAUGGAAAAUUUCGGCGGUUGGGGAAGCACGCGUGGCUUAUCGGCUUGUUGGUGAGGUAGUGGCUUACCAGGGCUUCGAUGGGUAGCCGGCCUGGGAGGGUGACCGGCCACAUUGUGACUGAGAUGCCGGCCAGACUCCUACGGCAGGCAUCAGUGGGGAAUAUUGCACGAUGGGCGGAAGCCUGAUGCAGCAACGCCGCGUGCUGGAUCACGGCCGUUGGGUUGUAACCCGCUUUCGCCUGGGACGAAGCGUGAGUGACGGUAAUGGGUAAAGAAGCACCGGCUAACUACGUG